UACGUAGGGGGGCAAGCGUUGUCCGGAAUCAUUGGGCGUAAAGCGCGUGUAGGCGGCUCGGUAAGUCCGCUCUGAAAAGUCCAAGGCUCAACCUUGGGAUGCGGGUGGAUACUGCCGGGCUCGAGUCCGGAAGAGGCGAGUGGAAUUCCUGGUGUAGCGGUGAAAUGCGCAGAUAUCAGGAGGAACACCAAUGGCGAAGGCAGCUCGCUGGGACGUGACUGACGCUGAGACGCGAAAGCGUGGGGAGCAAACAGG
rnacentral:rRNA from 1 species